rnacentral:rRNA from 1 species
GAUGAACGCUGGCGGCGUGCCUAAUACAUGCAAGUCGAGCGAACAGACGAGGAGCUUGCUCCUCUGACGUUAGCGGCGGACGGGUGAGUAACACGUGGAUAACCUACCUAUAAGACUGGGAUAACUUCGGGAAACCGGAGCUAAUACCGGAUAAUAUAUUGAACCGCAUGGUUCAAUAGUGAAAGACGGUUUUGCUGUCACUUAUAGAUGGAUCCGCGCCGCAUUAGCUAGUUGGUAAGGUAACGGCUUACCAAGGCAACGAUGCGUAGCCGACCUGAGAGGGUGAUCGGCCACACUGGAACUGAGACACGGUCCAGACUCCUACGGGAGGCAGCAGUAGGGAAUCUUCCGCAAAGGGCGAAAGCUUGACGGAGCAACGCCGCGUGAGUGAUGAAGGUCUUCGGAUCGUAAAACUCUGUCAUUAGGGAAGAACAAAUGUGUAAGUAACUAUGCACGUCUUGACGGUACCUAAUCAGAAAGCCACGGCUAACUACGUG